rnacentral:tRNA from 1 species
AGUGGCCUUGUGUAUAAGGCAUCAGCCUCAGGAGUUGGGUAUUGUGGGUUCAAGUCCCAUCU